CCAGGAUAAGCAGGGGCUUCCAUAGGUGGACUCAGUCACCCGAGUUCCCUCGGGUUUGGGGAAGUACCCUGCUGAAAAGCUCAGGAGCCCAUGACGGAAAUCAUUUAGAUGUAUUUGGUGUUUGUCACCAAGGGGAUAAUUAAACUGAGCCUGAGAACACCGUAUGGCCAGCAUGCUGCUUGUUAGUACAUUCAAAGCUGAUUUGAUUAAAGUCAUUAUAUCCUACCGCUUUCAUAACGAACCAUGAAACACACUGACCGACAUCUGCCCAGCAGCUGUUAUGAUGCACGUCCAUCAGGAACUUUUCUCAAUCCGUGAAACAUUUCUUUUCUAGAUUGAGUUUCCUUUCCAAGCAUUUGCAAGGCAACAGAUUGCCAAACAGGUAGCUGUACUUGGUGACAGACAACCAGAGUCCCGCUGUACACUCCUCCAGAUAAUUUGAAAUCUUUAAAACAUUACAUUCAUUUACUUAAUUAUUUA